rnacentral:lncRNA from 1 species
UAUUUCCAGGUCAGACAGAGCGCCUUCUGGAGAGGAAGGCGGUGGCCUCCCAGCUCCGGUCUCCUCAAGAGAAAGAGAUCUUUCUCUUCCCCCGGUGGUCUCAUCUGGAGUCAGAUCCAGCCGCCNCCAGCCGCCGGCUCUUACAGCCGGGGAAGGACCGCGAGCCAACGGGAAAACAACAGGUGAGCUUCUGAACAGUCCCCUUCUGUGCCUGCCCGGACGACGGCAGGGCCACACUGACUUCCAGAACCUUCUGUCUCUGCAGGUGUUUUAGGAACUUGGCCUCAGCGCUUCAGUGACCCAUAUUUUAUUACCUUUCAGGUUUCUAUAAUUCAUCAUUCACUCCUUUCUGAAACCCUAGAAUGGAAGUUUAGCAGCUCAGCGCCCCGGCCUCUCCCCAUUCUCUCCCCAAACACAUCGGUCUAUUUGUUCUCUUUAUCCCCACUCUUCCUGCCCGUUCAAUGGGGAAAGAGUGAAACCGGAUGGCUGGACCCAGUGCGGGGAAAUGACUUCAGAGCCACCUUUGUUUUCCUCAUUCCUUUGAGCACACUUGGCCCCACGUCUCUAUGAAAGGGCUUGUUUGAACCAUUUGGAACAUCUAGCAAGCGAGAGAUGCUGCGGCCAGAAUCGCUCGCAUCUUUUCAGGCUGCCUGAGACUCUAGGUUAAACUGCCAAAUUUUUGCAACAAA